rnacentral:rRNA from 1 species
GGGUUGUGAGGUUAAGCGACUAAGCGUACACGGUGGAUGCCCUGGCAGUCAGAGGCGAUGAAGGACGUGCUAAUCUGCGAUAAGCGUCGGUAAGGUGAUAUGAACCGUUAUAACCGGCGAUUUCCGAAUGGGGAAACCCAGUGUGUUUCGACACACUAUCAUUAACUGAAUCCAUAGGUUAAUGAGGCGAACCGGGGGAACUGAAACAUCUAAGUACCCCGAGGAAAAGAAAUCAACCGAGAUUCCCCCAGUAGCGGCGAGCGAACGGGGAGGAGCCCAGAGCCUGAAUCAGUGUGUGUGUUAGUGGAAGCGUCUGGAAAGGCGCGCGAUACAGGGUGACAGCCCCGUACACAAAAAUGCACAUGCUGUGAGCUCGAUGAGUAGGGCGGGACACGUGGUAUCCUGUCUGAAUAUGGGGGGACCAUCCUCCAAGGCUAAAUACUCCUGACUGACCGAUAGUGAACCAGUACCGUGAGGGAAAGGCGAAAAGAACCCCGGCGAGGGGAGUGAAAAAGAACCUGAAACCGUGUACGUACAAGCAGUGGGAGCCUCUUAAUGGGGUGACUGCGUACCUUUUGUAUAAUGGGUCAGCGACUUAUAUUCUGUAGCAAGGUUAACCGAAUAGGGGAGCCGAAGGGAAACCGAGUCUUAACUGGGCGUUAAGUUGCAGGGUAUAGACCCGAAACCCGGUGAUCUAGCCAUGGGCAGGUUGAAGGUUGGGUAACACUAACUGGAGGACCGAACCGACUAAUGUUGAAAAAUUAGCGGAUGACUUGUGGCUGGGGGUGAAAGGCCAAUCAAACCGGGAGAUAGCUGGUUCUCCCCGAAAGCUAUUUAGGUAGCGCCUCGUGAAUUCAUCUCCGGGGGUAGAGCACUGUUUCGGCAAGGGGGUCAUCCCGACUUACCAACCCGAUGCAAACUGCGAAUACCGGAGAAUGUUAUCACGGGAGACACACGGCGGGUGCUAACGUCCGUCGUGAAGAGGGAAACAACCCAGACCGCCAGCUAAGGUCCCAAAGUCAUGGUUAAGUGGGAAACGAUGUGGGAAGGCCCAGACAGCCAGGAUGUUGGCUUAGAAGCAGCCAUCAUUUAAAGAAAGCGUAAUAGCUCACUGGUCGAGUCGGCCUGCGCGGAAGAUGUAACGGGGCUAAACCAUGCACCGAAGCUGCGGCAGCGACACUAUGUGUUGUUGGGUAGGGGAGCGUUCUGUAAGCCUGUGAAGGUGUACUGUGAGGUAUGCUGGAGGUAUCAGAAGUGCGAAUGCUGACAUAAGUAACGAUAAAGCGGGUGAAAAGCCCGCUCGCCGGAAGACCAAGGGUUCCUGUCCAACGUUAAUCGGGGCAGGGUGAGUCGACCCCUAAGGCGAGGCCGAAAGGCGUAGUCGAUGGGAAACAGGUUAAUAUUCCUGUACUUGGUGUUACUGCGAAGGGGGACGGAGAAGGCUAUGUUGGCCGGGCGACGGUUGUCCCGGUUUAAGCGUGUAGGCUGGUUUUCCAGGCAAAUCCGGAAAAUCAAGGCUGAGGCGUGAUGACGAGGCACUACGGUGCUGAAGCAACAAAUGCCCUGCUUCCAGGAAAAGCCUCUAAGCAUCAGGUAACAUCAAAUCGUACCCCAAACCGACACAGGUGGUCAGGUAGAGAAUACCAAGGCGCUUGAGAGAACUCGGGUGAAGGAACUAGGCAAAAUGGUGCCGUAACUUCGGGAGAAGGCACGCUGAUAUGUAGGUGAAGUCCCUUGCGGAUGGAGCUGAAAUCAGUCGAAGAUACCAGCUGGCUGCAACUGUUUAUUAAAAACACAGCACUGUGCAAACACGAAAGUGGACGUAUACGGUGUGACGCCUGCCCGGUGCCGGAAGGUUAAUUGAUGGGGUUAGCGGUAACGCGAAGCUCUUGAUCGAAGCCCCGGUAAACGGCGGCCGUAACUAUAACGGUCCUAAGGUAGCGAAAUUCCUUGUCGGGUAAGUUCCGACCUGCACGAAUGGCGUAAUGAUGGCCAGGCUGUCUCCACCCGAGACUCAGUGAAAUUGAACUCGCUGUGAAGAUGCAGUGUACCCGCGGCAAGACGGAAAGACCCCGUGAACCUUUACUAUAGCUUGACACUGAACAUUGAGCCUUGAUGUGUAGGAUAGGUGGGAGGCUUUGAAGUGUGGACGCCAGUCUGCAUGGAGCCGGCCUUGAAAUACCACCCUUUAAUGUUUGAUGUUCUAACGUUGGCCCCUGAUCGGGGUUGCGGACAGUGUCUGGUGGGUAGUUUGACUGGGGCGGUCUCCUCCUAAAGAGUAACGGAGGAGCACGAAGGUUGGCUAAUCCUGGUCGGACAUCAGGAGGUUAGUGCAAUGGCAUAAGCCAGCUUGACUGCGAGCGUGACGGCGCGAGCAGGUGCGAAAGCAGGUCAUAGUGAUCCGGUGGUUCUGAAUGGAAGGGCCAUCGCUCAACGGAUAAAAGGUACUCCGGGGAUAACAGGCUGAUACCGCCCAAGAGUUCAUAUCGACGGCGGUGUUUGGCACCUCGAUGUCGGCUCAUCACAUCCUGGGGCUGAAGUAGGUCCCAAGGGUAUGGCUGUUCGCCAUUUAAAGUGGUACGCGAGCUGGGUUUAGAACGUCGUGAGACAGUUCGGUCCCUAUCUGCCGUGGGCGCUGGAGAACUGAGGGGGCUGCUCCUAGUACGAGAGGACCGGAGUGGACGCAUCACUGGUGUUCGGGUUGUCAUGCCAAUGGCACUGCCCGGUAGCUAAAUGCGGAAGAGAUAAGUGCUGAAAGCAUCUAAGCACGAAACUUGCCCCGAGAUGAGUUCUCCCUGACUCUUUAAGGGUCCUGAAGGAACGUUGAAGACGACGACGUUGAUAGGCCGGGUGUGUAAGCGCAGCGAUGCGUUGAGCUAACCGGUACUAAUGAACCGUGAGGCUUAACCUUACAACGCCGAAG